rnacentral:misc_RNA from 1 species
GCUUGUCGUAUUUCUUUCCUUGUCUUAGGAAAACUACAAUAUAAAAUUAAAAUUUAAUUUAAAGGUACAACAAAUUGUCAACAAGUUAAAUCACGCUCGUGUACCUAGAUUAGAUAGGAGGAGUUAGGAUUCUAACUUUUUAAAAUCCAACCAUAAAGAGUUACGAAAUUAUUCUACUUUUAUUUUAUUUUAAUUUCAUUAUAAUGCCAAAAGCUGUGGCGCCAAAAAAGAAGGCUGCAAAAGGAUACGCAUUAGCGGAGUCUUUACCAGUAGGCGAAGUCCUUCAAGAUAUUUCCAAAAAUCAAUGGAAGUUGGGGCCUGUUGUAGGCCAUGGUGGCUUUGGGGCUAUAUAUUCAGCCCGCCCAGCUGCCGAUAAUGGUACCAAGUAUCCCUACGUUGUGAAAAUAGAACCACAUUCAAAUGGACCCUUAUUUGUGGAGAUGCAUUUUUAUAUGAGAAAUGCUAAACAAGUAGAUGUGGAGGAUUUUAAGAAGAAAAUGGGGCUUAAAACCUUAGGAAUGCCAAUAUACAUAGGAUCCGGGUCACAUGAAUACCGUGGAGAUAAAUAUAGAUUCAUUGUAAUGGAGCAAUUCGGUAAGGAUUUGUGGAAGACAUUUUUGGAGAAUAAACGAGUGUUUCCAGCCUCUACAGUAUUUAAAAUAUCCCUGCAAAUGUUAGACGUUCUAGAGUACAUUCAUAGCAAAGGCUUUGUUCACGCAGAUCUCAAAGGAGCCAACAUUUUAAUGGGUGUAACUAAAGAGACUGCGAAUAAACAGAUGUACCUGAUAGAUUUCGGUCUAGCCACCAAAUACUAUGAUCAAGCCGAUUUUAAACCAAAUCCCAAGAAGGCCCAUGAUGGUACCAUAGAAUAUUUAAGCAGAGAUGCUCAUCAAGGAGUUCAGACCAGACGCGGAGAUCUAGAAAUUCUUGCCUAUAACAUCAUCCAAUGGCUGGGGUGCACUCUCCCAUGGGAAAAAAAUUUGAAAGAUCCUAACAACGUUCACAAAUCCAAAGAGGAAUAUAUGUCAGAUAUUCCAAAAUUCAUGAAAACGUGCUUCACAAGUGGAUCUCCACCUGCUCCCUUAGUUACAUUUUUGAAGUAUUUGUUAACCCUAAAACACAAUUCUAGCCCAGACUAUAAAAAAAUUAGAAGUAUUUUGUCAAGCGGUCUGGAUAAGGGUGACAGCGUUGGAAAACCUUUCAACUUUUCCGUUAGUAAAGCUUCUAAUAAAACACCCUCCAAAACGCCUACUAAGAGGAAAGGCAAAGGUAUUUCUAUUGUUACUUCUAAAAGAAGAUCUGCAAGAAAUAACGCAGAUUCUACUUUAGAAGAAGAAACUGUUGAUGAAGAGGAAGAUAGUUCAGGUGAUAUCCUUGAAGAAGUUAACUCCAAGAAAACAUCUUCAAAGAAAACAUCAUCCAAAGCUGCUACUAAAAGGAAAGGCCAAGGUGUUUCUGCUGUUAGUCCGAAAAGAAGAUAUGCAAGGAAUGGUGAUGGAGAUUCUACUCUAGAUGAAGAGGAAAAUGUGGAUGAAGAAGAAGAUAGUUCAGGUGAUAUCAUUGAAGACAGCUUCAUUGAAGAUUCCAAGAAGACAACUUCAAAGAAAUUACCAUCCAAGUCACCUACAAAAAGGAAUGGCAGAGGUGUUACCUCGAGAAAAAGAUAUGAUGCAGAUUCAACGCUAGAAGCAGACGAUCAUGUUGAUGAAGAGGAAGAUAGUCAAGAUGAUUGGGCCGAAGAACUGGAUUCAUCCGUUAAUAAAGUGUCGUCAAAGAAAAGUCCUUCAAAGAAAUAUCCUAAGAAAACCGUCCCCAAGUCGCCCACAAACAAAAAGACUAACGGAAUUUCUGAGGUCUUACCGAGAAAAAGGUCUACAAGAAGCGAAGACCUAGAUUCAACUCUAGAAGAGAAGGAAAACUGGGAUGAAGACGAAAGUAGUACAGAGGACGAUGUAGAAGAAUUUAUCUCACCAAGUAAACCUAGAAGAAAAAUCACAUCACCAGUUAGUAGAAAAACAAAGCCAAUUAGAAAGAAGCCCACGACAUCUUCAUCCAAUAAGAAAACAAUAAGCAAUGGCAUACCUGGAGAAACGAACGCCAUGAGAGAAAUAAGACAGCGGAUAUUGGAAAGGGAAAACUCAAAAAAGAAAACGAAGGCACGACAGCCAACAACAAACGGAGAUACCGGCGUAUAUAACGAUGCCAUGAAAGAAGUCGCGCUAAUGACAGGUGGUCGCAGAAAAGUCAUAAACUGAGACUGAAGUUGCAUAUUUACUAACGUAGAAGCCACAGUUAGAAUGCAGUGUUGGGCUUACGAUGCGCAGCGAUGCCGCUCGGAGCAAACCGGCAACGUAGUCGGCCGUUCUCCCGUAAGAAAUACAUUGCUCUAGGCUACCUGCACUGCAUACUAACUGUGGCUUUUAGUAUAGUAGAUCAAGUUAUUAUAUACACCUGGUAACAUUGGAUUUUUUUUUGCAAAAGGGUUUUUAUUUGGUAAUUUCUCUGGUUUAAAAGUCACUCGCCCAACGAAUGUUUUUACCUGCUUUAUAAAAAUCUUAAAACAAUAUUUUAUUUAAAAUUUAUUAAGAAAGAAAGAGUAAAAACUAAUAUAUUUUGUAAAUCAAUUGUAAACGUUUUUAAAACAAAAAGUUCAGUUUUACCAGUGGUCCUAUUGAUGUAAUCAACUUUAAGUAUUUCGUACAUAUUACAUAAUAAAAAAUAUUUUUAUACAAA